AAACUUUCUUGGCAGGAGAGAUACCAUGAUCAAAUAGCUGCUUUUCCUAGGUUGAGACUUACCCAUUUCACUCCUGACGUGAGGACCUCUGUGACUUCCUUCAAGUUAGGAAACUAGACAAUAUAAUAUGUGGUAGUGUUUCUGGUCUCCCCUCUAUU